rnacentral:rRNA from 1 species
GACGAACGCUGGCGGCGUGCCUAAUACAUGCAAGUAGAACGCAGUUGCGAACGGGUGAGUAACGCGUGGGUAACUGCCUCAUGGCGGGGGAUAACUAUUGGAAACGAUAGCUAAUACCGCAUACUGUGCGAUAGACCUGCGUUGUGUUAGCUAGUUGGUGAGGUAAAUGCCCAACAAGGCGGCGAUACAUAGCCGACCUGAGAGGGUGAACGGCCACACCGGGAACGAGAAAACGCCCCGAAUCCGACGGGAGGCAGCCGGAGGGAAUCUUCGGCAAUGGACGGAAGUAUGACUGAGCAAAGCCGGGUUAGUGAAGAAGGUUUUCCGGUCGGAAAGCUCUGUUGUUAGAGAAGCGGUAACUAACCAGAAAGGGACGGCUAACUACGUGCCAGCAGCCGCGGUAAUUC